UGGAGGAAAGCAGGGGAUCGUAAGACCUUGCGCUUUUGGAGCGGCCGAUGUCUGAUUAGGUAGUUGGUGGGGUAAUGGCCUACCAAAGGUUCGAUCAGUAGCUGGUCUGAGAGGACGACCAGCCACACUGGGACUGAGACACGGCCCAGACUCCUACGGGAGGCAGCAGUGGGGAAUUUUGGACAAUGGGCGCAAGCCUGAUCCAGCCAUGCCGCGUGAGUGAAGAAGGCCUUCGGGUUGUAAAGCUCUUUCAGCCGGGAAGAAAAGGUCGCGACUAAUAAUCGCGGUUCAUGACGGUGCCGGAAGAAGAAGCACCGGCUAACUACGUGCCAGCAGCCGCGGUAAUACGUAGGGUGCGAGCGUUAAUCGGAAUUACUGGGCGUAAAGGGUGCGCAGGCGGUCUUGUAAGUCAGAUGUGA
rnacentral:rRNA from 1 species